rnacentral:rRNA from 1 species
AACGAACGCUGGCGGCAUGCCUAACACAUGCAAGUCGAACGAGACCUUCGGGUCUAGUGGCGCACGGGUGCGUAACGCGUGGGAACCUGCCUUAGGUUCGGAUAACUCAGAGAAAUUUGAGCUAAUACCGGAUAAUGUCUUCGGACCAAAGAUUUAUCGCCUUUAGAUGGGCCCGCGUUGGAUUAGCUAGUUGGUGGGGUAAAGCCUACCAAGGCGACGAUCCAUAGCUGGUCUGAGAGGAUGAUCAGCCACACUGGGACUGAGACACGGCCAGACUCCUACGGGAGCAGCAGU